rnacentral:rRNA from 1 species
GUAGCCGGCCAUAGCGGUAGGGUUCCACCCGGUCUCAUCCGAACCCGGAAGUUAAACCUAUCGACGCCGUUGUGCUAGCAAAGUGCGCGAGCCUUUGUGAAGCAACGGUGCCGGCGAUC